UGCCUGGGCCACCAGGUACCCCGAGGUUAUGAUAUUUUUGAACGAAUGACAGUUUUGAGCAUCUCUUGGGUUCUUUAUCAACUAAUGUGCAGAUGGGUGAUGCUAGGGCCACACGGCAGCACAAAGGAGGGAAACACCCUGUUUUCAGUUCGGUCCCGCGACUUACGAAAGGUGGGAACUGGUUCCGCAAGACGUUUAACUCCUUUGAAGUCUCAGGGGCUUCAUGGCUGCCGGGAUUCGAAAACUGAGCAGCGAGGGAUGAUUGUAAUUUCCUCCUUCCUGGGGCCCCUGGCGCUCGGGCCCUGAUCUUGCCACUUUGACUUCCGUACUUUGGUGGUUCCCCCUCCAGACGUGGCUCACUUUCGUACGUCUUCGCACGGGGAAGAAUUAACACCGAUUUUGAGGAUG